GGGUCAGGUGCCAGGGUG
rnacentral:misc_RNA from 1 species